rnacentral:rRNA from 1 species
CCUACGGGAGGCAGCAGUGGGGAAUAUGGGGCAAUGGGCGCAAGCCUGACCCAGCAACGACGCGUGAGGGAAGAAGGCUGUCGGGUUGUAAACUUCUUUUCUCAGGGACGAAGAAAGUGAUGGUACCUGAGGAAUAAGCCACGGCUAACUACGUGCCAGCAGCCGCGGUAAGACGUAGGUGGCAAGCGUUAUCCGGAUUUACUGGGUGUAAAGGGCGUGUAGGGGGGAAAGCGAGUCAGGUGUGAAAACCAUGGGCUCCAACUGUGUUCUGGAUUUGAAACUGUUUUUCUUGAGUACUGGAGAGGCAGACGGAAUGCCUAGUGUAGCGGUGAAAUGCAUAGAUAUUAGGAGGAACACCAGUGGCGAAGGCGGUCUGCUGGACAGCAACUGACGCUGAGGCGCGAAAGCGUGGGGAGCAAACAGGAUUAGAUACCCCUGUAGUC